rnacentral:rRNA from 1 species
AGACAGCAGCAGCCACGGGAAUACGGAGGGUGCAAGCGUUAAUCGGAAUUACUGGGCGUAAAGCGCACGCAGGCGGUCUGACAAGUCAGAUGUGAAAUCCCCGGGCUUAACCUGGGAACUGCAUUUGAAACUGUCAGGCUGGAGUCUUGUAGAGGGGGGUGGAAUUCCAGGUGUAGCGGUGAAAUGCGUAGAGAUCUGGAGGAAUACCGGUGGCGAAGGCGGCCCCCUGGACAAAGACUGACGCUCAGGUGCGAAAGCGUGGGGAGCAAACAGGAUUAGAUACCCCGGUAGUCCCUGUCUCUUAUAC